rnacentral:tRNA from 1 species
GCCCAUGUAGCUCAGUCGGUAGAGCACUUCCUUGGUAAGGAAGAGGUCGCCGGUUCAAGUCCGGUCGUGGGCUCCA